rnacentral:lncRNA from 1 species
UAGCUAAAAAUUGUUAUUCGGAAAAAGCAAAAGUGGAUGGCGUGGUGCCAUUAAGAUGGUAUCGAUAUGAUCUAGUCUCAAUUAAGUGUCGCAGUUCAAGUGCCAGUGAAACGAACGAUAAAAAAGAAGAAGCAUUCAAUUGUUUACCGCUUGACUCCUGUCCCAAUCUAACCUAGUGGGUUCAAAAAAAAGGGACUGCGCUGGAAACAUGCGUGGAUUAAAAGGAUCAGCCCUUUUUGAAUUAAUAGUCGAAGUGGUAACCAGCUAGAAGUCGUAACCUG